UUCUGGCUCAGGAUGAACGCUAGCGACAGGCUUAACACAUGCAAGUCGAGGGGCAGCAUAGAAGUAGCAAUACUUGGUGGCGACCGGCGCACGGGUGAGUAACGCGUAUGCAACCUACCUAUCAGAGGGGAAUAACCCGGCGAAAGUCGGACUAAUACCGCAUAAAACAGGGGCACCGCAUGGUGAUAUUUGUUAAAGAAAUUCGCUGAUAGAUGGGCAUGCGUUCCAUUAGGUAGUUGGUGAGGUAACGGCUCACCAAGCCGACGAUGGAUAGGGGAACUGAGAGGUUGGUCCCCCACACUGGUACUGAGACACGGACCAGACUCCUACGGGAGGCAGCAGUGAGGAAUAUUGGUCAAUGGGCGGGAGCCUGAACCAGCCAAGUCGCGUGAAGGAAAGAAGGAUCUAUGGUUCGUAAACUUCUUUUGCAGGGGAAUAAAGUGCAGGACGUGUCCUGUUUUGUAUGUACCCUGAGAAUAAGGAUCGGCUAACUCCGUGCCAGCAGCUGC
rnacentral:rRNA from 1 species